UACGGGGGGAGCAAGCGUUGUUCGGAUUUACUGGGCGUAAAGGGCGCGUAGGCGGUCAGCACAAGUCAGUUGUGAAAUCUCCGAGCUUAACUCGGAAAGGUCAACUGAUACUGUGCGACUAGAGUGCGGAAGGGGCAACUGGAAUUCUUGGUGUAGCGGUGAAAUGCGUAGAUAUCGAGAGGAACACCUGCGGCGAAGGCGGGUUGCUGGGCCGACACUGACGCUGAGGCGCGAAAGUGUGGGGAGCGAACAGG
rnacentral:rRNA from 1 species